AGUGAACGCUGGCGAUAGGCCUAACACAUGCAAGUCGAACGGCAGCACAGUAAGAGCUUGCUCUUACGGGUGGCGAGUGGCGGACGGGUGAGGAAUAUAUCGGAAUCUACUUUUUCGUGGGGGAUAACGUAGGGAAACUUACGCUAAUACCGCAUACGACCUACGGGUGAAAGCAGGGGAUCUUCGGACCUUGCGCGAUUGAAUGAGCCGAUGUCGGAUUAGCUAGUUGGCGGGGUAAAGGCCCACCAAGGCGACGAUCCGUAGCUGGUCUGAGAGGAUGAUCAGCCACACUGGAACUGAGACACGGUCCAGACUCCUACGGGAGGCAGCAGUGGGGAAUAUUGGACAAUGGGCGCAAGCCUGAUCCAGCCAUACCGCGUGGGUGAAGAAGGCCUUCGGGUUGUAAAGCCCUUUUGUUGGGAAAGAAAAGCAGCAGGUUAAUACCCCGCUGUUCUGACGGUACCCAAAGAAUAAGCACCGGCUAACUUCGUG
rnacentral:rRNA from 1 species